UNAUCUGGCUCAGAUUGAACGCUGGCGGCAGGCCUAACACAUGCAAGUCGAACGGUAACAGGAAACAGCUUGCUGUUUCGCUGACGAGUGGCGGACGGGUGAGUAAUGUCUGGGAAACUGCCUGAUGGAGGGGGAUAACUACUGGAAACGGUAGCUAAUACCGCAUAACGUCGCAAGACCAAAGAGGGGGGACCUUCGGGCCUCUUGCCAUCAGAUGUGCCCAGAUGGGAUUAGCUAGUAGGUGGGG
rnacentral:rRNA from 1 species